GUUUUAAUAAUUUAAUAAAAAUAUUAGUUUUGUAAACUAAAAUUAGGUAUACCUUUAAAACA
rnacentral:tRNA from 1 species